AUGGUUGCCCCGCCGUCGAGCGCCGCCUCCUCCAUGUCGACGCCUUGCCACGGCGUCACGCCUAGCCUUCUGCGCUGCCCCCGAGAGGGUCAUCUACAGCGGCCCCGUCGCCUGUGUCCGACCUCCGCCACCUCGACCUUGAAUUGGCGCCCGCGACCCACUUCUCCAGCAAGGCCCUCCCGUCGCCCAAACCUCCUCCGCGCCAGCUCUCCUCUGCCUCCUCGCUACCAGGUCGUGGGAGCACUGGCCUUGCUUCCUUGGAUGCCCUGCCGAUGCUCCUUCGGCCACGCUCGACCCCGCCGAAGCUCUGUCACCUGA
rnacentral:rRNA from 1 species